CUCUUAUAUGUAAAGGUUUAUACAUUUGGUGCAGGCGGAAUCAGUGGAUAAUUUUCUACAGUCAUUGGGUCUUGAGAAGUAUGCUAUUACAUUUCAAGCUGAAGAAGUUGAUAUGGCUGCUCUUGUGCACAUGACAGAUGAAGAUCUCAAAAGCUAUAGGAAUACCAAUGGGUCCAAGGAAGAAGAUAAUAUUAGCACUGGAGACUAGAAUCUGAUAAUUGGGGAUAAUCUUCCUUUGCUGGGGUUUUUCAAUGGUCUACCAUCCAACUAGUCAGAAGGCGGCUUGUGUUUUAACUGUACAAGUCUCUUUCUGGGAUUUAUUUCUUUUAAGUGUUUUCUUUUUCAAUUUUUGGGUUUUAUCAAAGUCAAGUGUGGUUAAUUAGAGCUCUCAACAUUUAAUGAUGAGCUAACCCUUGAAGGGCAUAUAAUUUAAUGGCUUUGUUGGUUGCUUUGCUUGUAACUUGGAAACCAAAUUUUGCUGUUUCAUCUCUCAUCGAGCUUUACAUUUUAGUUUUGUAUCA